rnacentral:rRNA from 1 species
GCUAAACGCGAAGAACCUUACCUAGGCUUGACAUGCAUCUCUAAGCGCGUGAAAGCGCGUGACCCUUCGGGGGAUUUGCACAGGUGCUGCAUGGCCGUCGUCAGCCCGUGUCGUGAGAUGUUGGGUUAAGUCCCGCAACGAGCGCAACCCUUGUGAUUAGUUGCCAGCGGGUCAUGCCGGGAACUCUAAUCAGACUGCCCAGAUCAACUGGGAGGAAGGUGGGGACGACGUCAGGUCAGUAUGGCCCUUACGCCUAGGGCUGCACACGUACUACAAUGCCCAGUACAAUGAGAACCGAGACCGCGAGGUGGAGGAAAUCUAUAAAACUGGGCCCAGUUCGGAUUGGAGGCUGCAACUCGCCUCCAUGAAGCCGGAAUCGCUAGUAAUGGCACAUCAGCUACGGUGCCGUGAAUACGUUCCCGGGUCUUGUACACACCG